GACGAACGCUGGCGGCGUGCUUAACACAUGCAAGUCGAACGGAAAGGCCCUGCUUUUGUGGGGUGCUCGAGUGGCGAACGGGUGAGUAACACGUGAGUAACCUGCCCUUGACUUUGGGAUAACUUCAGGAAACUGGGGCUAAUACCGGAUAGGAGCUCCUGCUGCAUGGUGGGGGUUGGAAAGUUUCGGCGGUUGGGGAUGGACUCGCGGCUUAUCAGCUUGUUGGUGGGGUAGUGGCUUACCAAGGCUUUGACGGGUAGCCGGCCUGAGAGGGUGACCGGCCACAUUGGGACUGAGAUACGGCCCAGACUCCUACGGGAGGCAGCAGUGGGGAAUAGUGCACAAUGGGCGGAAGCCUGAUGCAGCAACGCCGCGUGCGGGAUGACGGCCUUCGGGUUGUAAACCGCUUUCGCCUGUGACGAAGCGUGAGUGACGGUAAUGGGUAAAGAAGCACCGGCUAAGUACGUG
rnacentral:rRNA from 1 species